rnacentral:rRNA from 1 species
CUAACUACGUGCCAGCAGCCGCGGUAAUACGUAGGGCGCAAGCGUUGUCCGGAAUUAUUGGGCGUAAAGAGCUCGUAGGUGGCUGGUCGCGACUGCCGUGAAAGCCCGCAGCUUAACUGCGGGUCUGCGGUGGAUACGGGCCGGCUAGAGGUAGGCAGGGGCAAGUGGAAUUCCUGGUGUAGCGGUGAAAUGCGCAGAUAUCAGGAGGAACACCGGUGGCGAAGGCGGCUUGCUGGGCCCUUACCUGACGCUGAGGAGCGAAAGCGUGGGGAGCGAACAGGAUUAGAUACCCUGGUAGUCCACGCUGUAAACGUUGGGCGCUAGGUGUGGGGGUCUUCCACGACUUCCGUGCCGGAGCUAACGCAUUAAGCGCCCCGCCUGGGGAGUACGGCCGCAAGGCUAAAACUCAAAGGAAUUGACGGGGGCCCGCACAAGCGGCGGAGCAUGUUGCUUAAUUCGACGCAACGCGAAGAACCUUACCAAGGUUUGACAUCACCCGGAAAGCUGCAGAGAUGUGGCCCUCUUCGGACUGGGUGACAGGUGGUGCAUGGCUGUCGUCAGCUCGUGUCGUGAGAUGUUGGGUUAAGUCCCGCAACGAGCGCAACCCUUGCUCCAUGUUGCCAGCAGCGGAUUCGUCCGGCUGGGGACUCAUGGGGGACUGCCGGGGCCAACUCGGAGGAAGGUGGGGAUGACGUCAAGUCAUCAUGCCCCUUAUGUCUUGGGCUGCAAACAUGCUACAAUGGCCGGUACAGAGGGUUGCGAUACCGUGAGGUGGAGCGAAUCCCUAAAAGCCGGUCUCAGUUCGGAUUGGGGUCUGCAACUCGACCCCAUGAAGUCGGAGUCGCUAGUAAUCGCAGAUCAGCAAUGCUGCGGUGAAUACGUUCCCGGGCCUUGUACACACCGCCCGUCACGUCACGAAAGUCGGCAACACCCGAAGCCCGUGGCCCAACCCGCAAGGGGGGGAGCGGUCGAAGGUGGGGCUGGA